rfam:Capsicum annuum cultivar Zunla-1 unplaced genomic scaffold scaffold9, whole genome shotgun sequence
UAAUGAUGGAGAGGGAAGUUUUUGAGCACACUCUUAAAUCUCUCCCAACCUUAGUAGAGAUUCUCUUCUUCUUUCUAUCUAAAACUCAGAAUCUCACUUCUCAAACG